CCUACGGGUGGCUGCAGUGGGGAAUAUUGCGCAAUGGGGGGAACCCUGACGCAGCGACGCCGCGUGAAGGAAGAAGGUUUUCGGAUCGUAAACUUCUUUGACUGGGGAAGAAUAUAUGACGGUACCCAGAGAACAAGCCACGGCUAACUACGUGCCAGCAGCCGCGGUAAUACGUAGGUGGCGAGCGUUGUCCGGAAUUACUGGGUGUAAAGGGCGUGUAGGCGGGGGUGCAAGUCAGAUGUGAAAACCCAAGGCUCAACUUUGGGAUUGCAUCUGAAACUGUAUCUCUUGAGUACUGGAGAGGGAAGCGGAAUUCCUAGUGUAGCGGUGAAAUGCGUAGAGAUUAGGAGGAACACCAGUGGCGAAGGCGGCUUCCUGGACAGAGACUGACGCUGAGGCGCGAAAGCGUGGGUAGCGAACAGGAUUAGAUACCCGUGUAGUC
rnacentral:rRNA from 1 species